rnacentral:rRNA from 1 species
GAUGAACGCUGGCGGCGUGCCUAAUACAUGCAAGUCGAGCGAACGGACGAGAAGCUUGCUUCUCUGAUGUUAGCGGCGGACGGGUGAGUAACACGUGGAUAACCUACCUAUAAGACUGGGAUAACUUCGGGAAACCGGAGCUAAUACCGGAUAAUAUUUUGAACCGCAUGGUUCAAAAGUGAAAGACGGUCUUGCUGUCACUUAUAGAUGGAUCCGCGCUGCAUUAGCUAGUUGGUAAGGUAACGGCUUACCAAGGCAACGAUGCAUAGCCGACCUGAGAGGGUGAUCGGCCACACUGGAACUGAGACACGGUCCAGACUCCUACGGGAGGCAGCAGUAGGGAAUCUUCUGCAAUGGGCGAAAGCCUGACGGAGCAACGCCGCGUGAGUGAUGAAGGUCUUCGGAUCGUAAAACUCUGUUAUUAGGGAAGAUCAUAUGUGUAAGUAACUGUGCACAUCUUGACGGUACCUAAUCAGAAAGCCACGGCUAACUACGUG